CGGAGGAUCCAAGCGUUAUCCGGAUUCAUUGGGUUUAAAGGGUGCGUAGGCGGAAUGAUAAGUCAGUGGUGAAAGCCCUCAGCUUAACUGAGGAACUGCCAUUGAUACUGUCAAUCUUGAGUACAUUUGAUGUGGGCGGAAUGUGUCAUGUAGCGGUGAAAUGCUUAGAUAUGACACAGAACACCAAUUGCGAAGGCAGCUCACAAAACUGUAACUGACGCUGAGGCACGAAAGCGUGGGUAUCAAACAGGAUUAGAUACCCUGGUAGUCCACGCUGUAAACUAUGAUUACUCGAUGUUUGCGAUAUACUGUAAGCGUACUAAGCGAAAGCGAUAAGUAAUCCACCUGGGGAGUACGCUCGCAAGAGUG
rnacentral:rRNA from 1 species